CGCAUUGUGGGCAGAGUUUUUGAGUGGUGUGGGUGAUAUACUCGUGACCUCCGCUUUUUGUCCCUUCACCUUGAAGAAUCUCACCUUGACGCCAGGGCUUCGGUUCUUUACCUUUAACGUUGAUGGUGCAAGUGCUUAUAGGAACCAUGGUGCAGUGCAUUCAUCUGGCCCAGGACUCACAGAAACUGAAGAAGAAGGUCCAGAAGUUGUGAAAGAGUUCCACACCUGGCCACUGCCCCACUCCAAGAUCAGUUGGUCUUCUUUCUGGAACAUCUCUUGGAGCAGAAGACCCUGAACCCCAGAACUCUGCAAAGACUUGAAAGGCCAUACCACCUCCCUCAGCAGGACAGAGGUUCAACAUUGGUGCUGUGAAAUCAUUGUUAAGCACACAUACACAAAAGCGUACAGAAAUGUGAGGAUUCCUUCAGGAGGAUCAGGCCAUGGGCACAUACCUGUGUGGGGAGCUGAUGGUGAGGCAGGACGCCAGGCAGCAGCAGCUUGCCCGAAGUUGCUCUGAGCUGCCAAGGAGCAGAGAGAUAGAUGCUCAUCCCAGGUGGUGGCCAAAAUGUUAGAGAGGAAAGAGCGCAGCGAGGUUCUCCCUCAUAAUGUUGUAGACCUGGUGGGACCAGGAUGGCAUUGACCCUGGACAUUGAAGGAAGGAUUAGAGGGCUGCUACAGCCAUCAGCCAACAGCAGGGUCCACAUCUUAGUGCUUCUCUUCCGGAGGCUGCUCUCAGCAGAGCACAUGUGAAAGGGACAUCCUCAUAAACAGUCUCCAUUGGGUGGUAGGGCUUUUGUCCUCACCCUGAACAUGCCACCUCAAUCAAACACUGAACCUGAACUGGGUCUCUUCUAAGAGUUUAAGACAGUUCUUUCACACAAAUGAUUCAAAGAUAUGAGACACGUCAAAAAACCUGAACAUUUUGUAUCAGUCCCCUCAGCAUAUGGCUGCAUUAGCUAUUUCUGUAAUUCCAGAAAGUCACAGAAUUUCUGUGUUCUGGGACUAGUGAACACCAUUUGAUGUUCUCUGGGUCACUUCAGAAAGAGUUUGCAGAAUUCUUUUGAUUGAUAUGUCUAUUAGAUUUUUCUCAAAAUUUUAGCACCCUUAUGUAAAAGUAUAGAAUAAGAAUCUAAGAUGUAUUAAUAUUAAAAGGUAAUGUAGUAAAAAAAAAUUACUGAUUUCUCUCAAUAAGAUAAAGAACAA